rnacentral:rRNA from 1 species
AUACGGAGGGUGCAAGCGUUAAUCGGAAUUACUGGGCGUAAAGCGUACGUAGGCGGUUCGUUAAGUUAGACGUGAAAGCCCCGGGCUUAACCUGGGAACUGCAUUUAAAACUGGCGAACUAGAGUUGAGUAGAGGGGAGUGGAAUUUCAGGUGUAGCGGUGAAAUGCGUAGAGAUCUGAAGGAACACCAGUGGCGAAGGCGACUCCCUGGACUCAAACUGACGCUGAGGUACGAAAGCGUGGGUAGCAAACGGGAUUAGAUACCCUAGUAGUCC